rnacentral:rRNA from 1 species
GAUGAACGCUGGCGGCGUGCCUAAUACAUGCAAGUCGAGCGAACAGACGAGGAGCUUGCUCCUCUGACGUUAGCGGCGGACGGGUGAGUAACACGUGGAUAACCUACCUAUAAGACUGGGAUAACUUCGGGAAACCGGAGCUAAUACCGGAUAAUAUAUUGAACCGCAUGGUUCAAUAGUGAAAGACGGCUUUGCUGUCACUUAUAGAUGGAUCCGCGCCGCAUUAGCUAGUUGGUAAGGUAAAGGCUUACCAAGGCAACGAUGCGUAGCCGACCUGAGAGGGUGAUCGGCCACACUGGAACUGAGACACGGUCCAGACUCCUACGGGAGGCAGCAGUAGGGAAUCUUCCGCAAUGGGCGAAAGCUUGACGGAGCAACGCCGCGUGAGUGAUGAAGGUCUUCGGAUCGUAAAACUCUGUUAUUAGGGAAGAACAAAUGUGUAAGUAACUAUGCACGUCUUGACGGUACCUAAUCAGAAAGCCACGGCUAACUACGUG